CUCCAAUCAUGAAAAGCAAGUAAAGGACGGCGGCAAUGGUCAACCUGAUUUUCACCUUUCUCUGCUUCAGUAACUCUCUCCGUUUGCUGCAGUUGUCACAGGGGUCCACCUUCAAACUCAGCUGACUGUUGGUCAAAGGAGGGGAUGGAAACUGCUGGACAUGUAUGAACAAGGGUUAGUGAUGUGAUACCAAACUAUGUCCACCUGGUAAAUGGAAAGAAUGCUGAAGAUCCACAGGAAGGCACACUGAUACAACAGAAGGACCCUGGGUCCCUGAAUGUGGAGCAGUGUCCAGAACUUGCUGAUCUACGUGGGAAAGUAUGGUGAAAGAUAAAUAAGCAUUUAUUUGGUAAACCUUAGAGAUGGUAGAGUACAUCUUCUCCACCAGCAUCUGUUAUCUACCCAAACUAACACAGAUUAUUUUGAAUGCUUCUGCUACCAUCAUGUGAAUAUACCCAGAUGAAAGAAUCAGGCAGUAAUUACUACUGGCACCUCUAGUAAUUACUACAUUUUUGUUUGCUUUUGUUUUCAGUAAAUUAACUUUAGGGAUCCUGCAAGCAUUUAAGAAUUUUGAAAAAAAAAAUCCACUAGCUUUUAAAACUAAAGCUUUAUAGGUAUCUAUAAAACCAAACCUUGAUUUACAAAUUUGUAUCUUAGAAAUAGGAGUAUUAGUUAAACUUAGUAUAGAAUAUUGUUGUGAUAUCCUCUGAGGCUGGAUGGUCAAGGAUGGUCAAGUCUUUCUACUAAGUCAAAUAUUACUACUAAGUAUUCAUUAGUUCAUUCACUCAUUUAUGCAUUCCACAUAUGCUAGACAUUGAAAAUCAAAAGAUAAAUGAGGCAGAUUCAUUUCUUUGAAUCAUGAUAUGUACAGUCAUGUAUUACCUGACUGACCAUGAGAGAAUUGCUAACCUCUGUGAAAUUUAGUUACUCCAUCUGUAAAAUGAGGAUAAUGUUAUGUUACAUUCACUUCUA